CCUGAAAUAAUAAUAAUAAAGAUGAGAUUCUUGAAAUCAGUUCUUUACAGGGAUAAACUGAAUAACUGGUAACUUACUGUACUUCUGUGCUUAGCCAAGAUUUGUAUCUGUCUUCAAGUUCUUGAGGAACAUCGAAAUGGUUUAGAGUCACAAAUGGAUGGAUUCCUAUAAAAGAACAAAAGAGAGCAAAUUAUUCAUCAAUUUCAAUUGCUUUUGUUUCGUUUCAUUUGAUCAUUGGCAUAAUACUACCUUUGUGUAGAAGGGCAUCGAUUAAGUUGUUGUAGUGCUGAAUGCCAGCCAUGUUCAGUUCCCCGAAUCUUCCCUCUGAUUGAUUGAUAACAUAUAUAUGCUUCAAAUGAUGAUAUAUAUAUGAUAUGAAUGUGUUAUUUUUCUUGGUGCAAAUGAACAAGUAACUAACUUGGUAAAAUUCUUGACCAGGAUAUUGAGAAACGAUAGCUAUUGACUCCCAUAUAUUCCAUGAGCUCGAUAUCUUCCUGUUUAAGCAUGCCAUUAAUGAGUUAGUAAGUCUAGCAAAUCAAAAUUAUGUUUGUGAAAUGAAGAAAUAAUUAGUACUUUAUAUCUGUGGUACUGAUCAACAGCAAUAUCCCCAUUACUUCCAUCCAUUACUGUACCUAGAUCUCACCAGGUUUAUGAGUGUAAACAUCCCAGUUAUUCCAACCUUUCCCAUCACUCAAAUAAGCCCCCUCAAACUGCAACAACAAAAACGAUGUACAUUCAAUUCAUUCAGCCUAUUUGCUACGAGUAAUGAGGAAGAUGAUGAGAAAAAGAAAAAGGGACCUGACUUGGUAAGAAGAUGAGGCAGUUCCAUAUAAGAAUUUACAUGAUACCAUCACAGAUGAGAAGCCGAUUGUAUAAACAACUAAAAACAACAUCUGUGCCACUGACACUACUUCCAUCACAGUGAUGAUCAAUAGAGAGAAAGAGUCUAAGAUUCUUUAUUAUAGGAAUAUGGAAGACGAUGGAUGGAUCUAUUGUUUUUUUUAAUCGAUAUGAAUGAGUCUAAUUAAAUGUGGGUUUUCAUUUGUAAUAAUAA